UACCAAGGCUGCGAUGGUUAGCUGGUCUGAGAGGAUGAUCAGCCACACUGGAACUGACACACGGUCCAGACUCCUACGGGAGGCAGCAGUGAGGAAUUUUGCGCAAUGGGGGAAACCCUGAUCCAGCCAUGCCGCGUGAGUGAAGAAGGCCUUCGGGUUGUAAAGCUCUUUCGGCCGGGAAGAAAUCGCAUGGGCCAAUACCCUGUGUGGAUGACGGUACCGGAAUAAGAAGCACCGGCUAACUACGUGCCAGCAGCCGCGGUAAUACGUAGGGUGCGAGCGUUAAUCGGAAUUACUGGGCGUAAAGCGUGCGCAGGCGGUUUUGUAAGACAGGCGUGAAAUCCCCGGGCUUAACCUGGGAACUGCGUUUGUGACUGCAAGGCUAGAGUACGGCAGAGGGGGGUGGAAUUCCACGUGUAGCAGUGAAAUGCGUAGAGAUGUGGAGGAACACCAAUGGCGAAGGCAGCCCCCUGGGUCGAUACUGACGCUCAUGCACGAAAGCGUGGGUAGCAAACAGGAUUAGAUACCCUGGUAGUCCACGCCCUAAACUAUGUCAACUAGGUGUUGGGUGGGUAAAACCAUUUAGUACCGUAGCUAACGCGUGAAGUUGACCGCCUGGGGAGUACGGCCGCAAGGUUAAAACUCAAAGGAAUUGACGGGGACCCGCACAAGCGGUGGAUGAUGUGGAUUAAUUCGAUGCAACGCGAAAAACCUUACCUACCCUUGACAUGCCAGGAACCUGCCAGAGAUGGCUUGGUGCCCGAAAGGGAGCCUGGACACAGGUGCUGCAUGGCUGUCGUCAGCUCGUGUCGUGAGAUGUUGGGUUAAGUCCCGCAACGAGCGCAACCCUUGUCGUUAAUUGCCAUCAUUUGGUUGGGCACUUUAACGAGACUGCCGGUGACAAACCGGAGGAAGGUGGGGAUGACGUCAAGUCCUCAUGGCCCUUAUGGGUAGGGCUUCACACGUCAUACAAUGGUCGGUACAAAGGGCUGCCAAGCCGCGAGGCGGAGCCAAUCCCAGAAAGCCGAUCGUAGUCCGGAUUGCAGGCUGCAACUCGCCUGCAUGAAGUCGGAAUCGCUAGUAAUCGUGGAUCAGCAUGUCACGGUGAAUACGUUCCCGGGUCUUGUACACACCGCCCGUCACACCAUGGGAGCGGGUUCCGCCAGAAGUAGGUAGCCUAACCGCAAGGGGGGCGCUUACCACGGCGGGGUUCGUGACUGGGGUGAAGUCGUAACAAGGUA
rnacentral:rRNA from 1 species